GACGAACGCUGACGGCGUGCCUAAUACAUGCAAGUUGAGCGCUGAAGGUUGGUACUUGUACCAACUGGAUGAGCAGCGAACGGGUGAGUAACGCGUGGGGAAUCUGCCUUUGAGCGGGGGACAACAUUUGGAAACGAAUGCUAAUACCGCAUAAAAACUUUAAACACAAGUUUUAAGUUUGAAAGAUGCAAUUGCAUCACUCAAAGAUGAUCCCGCGUUGUAUUAGCUAGUUGGUGAGGUAAAGGCUCACCAAGGCGAUGAUACAUAGCCGACCUGGGAGGGUGAUCGGCCACAUUGGGACUGAGACACGGCCCAAACUCCUACGGGAGGCAGCAGUAGGGAAUCUUCGGCAAUGGACGAAAGUCUGACCGAGCAACGCCGCGUGAGUGAAGAAGGUUUUCGGAUCGUAAAACUCUGUUGGUAGAGAAGAACGUUGGUGAGAGUGGAAAGCUCAUCAAGUGACGGUAACUACCCAGAAAGGGACGGCUAACUACGUG
rnacentral:rRNA from 1 species